GUCAGAAAUAGGGGUACAGUAGGGGUCCAUUUCUGUCCCCCAAGGUACAAUCUACAUAAAAGUACCCCAAAGGGCCCAUUAUUGGACCUCAAAGUACAUGUAUGUACCUUUUUGAGGGUCAAAAAGGUACAUAUUUGUUCCCAAGCAUUAAAAGGUACAUUUUUGUACCAUUUCUUUUAAAGGAUAAGGUACAAUGCUAAAAGAUACAGCCUCUUGCCAUUUUUUUAUUUGUUGUUCUAGACAACUGCUGUAAAUCUGGUCAAUAAAGUAAGUAACCAUUGUGUCAAUUUUGUUUCCUUUAGUUGGGCACAUGGGUCUUGAAGUAGUGUUAGUUUUCUUCUGUUCAUUGACAAUGUGUUUAAUUUAAAAUUUUAAUUUGAAAUUUUAAUGAAAAAAAGUUAAUUUCAAUUCAUAAAAACUGUGCUGUGAACUCAAAAACUGCAAUUGAUUAACCAUUACUUACAAACUAAAUAAAUACUGAAUAACUAAAUCCCUCACACACAAUGGAAAAAACGCGCUUUUAUUUUGACACGCGCCCAUCCCCCCACAUCUCACGGUCUGACUGGAGUCGAGUUUCACAGAGCAACGCAACAGGAGGAUGACACAACAGUUAUAAGAGCAUUAACAGUAAGGACUAACAUUAACUGACUGUCUGUCCUCAACCAAAGUCAUUCAAGACCUGUAAAAGUUUAGCACAAACGUUUCCCGCGCAAGUUUGAAUCUCUCUCAGUCAGGGGAGAUUGACUGACUGACUGACUGUCUACACGCCACCAAACAGUUAUUUAUACAGAAACCUUUUAAAGUAAGGACUAACAUUAACUGACUGUCUGUCUGUCUGUCUGUUCUCAAGCAAAGUCAUUCAAGACCUGUUAAAGUUUAGCACAAACGUUUCCCGCGCAAGUUUGAAUCUCUCUCAGUCAGGGGAGAUUGACUGACUGACUGACUGUCUACACGCCACCAAACAGUAAUUUAUACAGAAACCUUUUAAAGUAAGGACUAACAUUAACUGAAUGUCUGUCUGUCUGUCUGUCUGUCUGUCUGUUCUCAAGUCAUUCAAGACCUGUUAAAGGUAACAUUACCAUAUUUAUUCAUUAAUUUAUUAUGUUGUGUGAGUACACCACAUUUCUGUAAGUGGAAAAUUAAUUUAUAUUUGUGUGUUUUUCUCUCAGUAAGGACUAACAUUAACUGAAUGUCUGUCUGUCUGUCUGUCUGUCUGUCUGUCUGUCUGUCUGUUCUCAAGUCAUUCAAGACCUGUUAAAGUUUAGCACAAAAGUUUCCAGCACAAGUUUGGAUCUUUACCAUUGAGGGUGGCUGACUGUUCUCGACCAACCAUCAUUCACACGCAAAAACUUUAAAGAUAAGUAUGAACGUGCCCAGAGCAGUUUUCGAUCUUUACCAUUAAGGAGGCUGACUGACUAUCCUCUACCACCCGUCAUUAACACAACAAAAACUAAAGAAAUGUUACUCCAUAUGGACCUAUUCAUUUACUCAUUAUGCUGUGAGUACACCACAGUUUUAUCAGUGAAAAAAUUUAUAUUUGUGUGUUUUCUCACUGCUUGGCAAGGACAGAUGUGGCCCUGUUAAAAAUGUUUAAAUGUUGUUUGGUUAAGGAACAGCACACUGAUUUUGUUUUAAAAUAUUCCUGUUUGGACAGUCUGUUAAAGUCAAAGGAAUACUUGAUAUAUUUCUAAGUAAAGUGUAAAUGAAAAAAUUAGUUUUUAAUGUUGUGACUGAACACAAUGUUGUGAAUGAUUUGGACUGAACAGCACACUUCUGUUUUAUAUCUGAACCUUUUGUAAAAUAAAUGAUUGUUCAUUAAACUCACUGUGUAUUUUAUCUUUUCUGUUAUCAUUUUUUUAUACUAAUGUUUAAAAUUUACCUUUACUCUAAACAAUUGGCUAAACCAACACAAAUACACUGAGUCAUAUGCACUUAUAAUUUAAAGUUUACAAUAUUUAGAUUGAGAUAUAUGUAUAAGUUUUAAAACCAUGAGUGUACCCUGUCA